AACGUAGGAGACAACCGUUAUCCGGAGUUACUGGGCGUAAAGGGCGUGUAGGCGGUUAGUUAAGUCUGGCGUGAAAGCUCUCGGCUAAACCGGGAGAGGUCGUUGGAUACUGGCUGACUAGAGGACGGUAGAGGCGUGUGGAAUUCCGGGUGUAGUGGUGAAAUGCGUAGAGAUCCGGAGGAACACCAGUGGCGAAGGCGACACGCUGGGCCGUACCUGACGCUAAAGCGCGACAGCAUGGGGAGCAAACGGG
rnacentral:rRNA from 1 species